UGAGCCUUUCCCCCUGAUUGUAACUGUCUUUCUGGCUCUUUCCUUAACUGCCAUAGUAUUGCACAGCAACUACACACAGGCUGGGCACCAGACAGACCUGCACUGAACCUAGUUUUAUCUUCCUGACUGCAUGAUUUUUGGGUGGGAAAGAAGAAGGGGCAGGAGCAGGACCGGAUGUAUAUGCCAGGCGUUCAGAGACAACGCACAUGGAGCCAGUUUUGGAGGGGAGCCAGGUUACCAUUCACUGCAACUCUACUAUGAGUUGGCACUUUCUCUAGACCCAGUGACAAGAGCCCCUCACUUUGGGAGUGAAGAGCUAUACCAGGAUCCUGCAUCCACAACCCACCUCUCCGCUACUCACAGCAUAUCCCAUCCCUUCCACUGAGUCUCCCUCCUUUUGAAACAGGCAGUAGCAUCUGAGGAGUCCCAAACCUAGGACUACCCUGUUUUUAAUAACCCUGGUCUGAGGGAGAAAGAGAAACAUUCCAAUAGAAGAUAAUGCAAGAAGUAAACAAAAAUUUCCUCUUUCUGUGUCUAAGUCAGAAAGGUUACUCAAAGAAGAAUAUACAAGGAUGCAUCUAUAUGACAGAGUGACGACUGGCUCCCUUGUUUAUGAGAGAACAUGUCAACAGUACUGUACAUAAGCAACAGCAUUUUGUGUGAAUAUGCUAACUUGUGUUGUUUAUUGUUUUGACUUUUGCCCUGGCUUCCCCAACUCUGGGCAAGUAUUGUGAUAACUUGCCUCCAUAUAUUUACAGCAUUUUAUAGGGUGAUUUGCAAACAGUUCAUGCUUAAUCAAUGUUUGAUGCUGACAAUAGAAUGCAAGUUUGCAAUUUUUAUUUAUUUUCAAAAUCAAUGUAUCAUAAUGGAAGUUACUGAUUUAUUCCUCAAUCUUUGCUGCAUUUCCACAUGUAAUCCCUUAAGCCUUUUAGGUAAAUCCUCGGUAUUAAUGGGAAUAUGAUUUUAAUCUGGAUUACCAUGCAGCAAUUAGAUUUGGCACAUUGUUUUUCAUAAAAUUGGAGACAGAGCUAGAAGAGACUCAAGUUUUGAUUCUCAAGCCGACACUGUCCUAGAUAAAUAAUUGCUUAUUUUACUUAAAAUACUACUAUUUACUAAAAUUACAGUUAUUUUUACAAUCUAUAUGGUGAAUUCUAUGUGAAUCUGUAUUAUGGUUAAGUCUAUAAAUAGAAAAUAAGACACAACUAUAUUUUAAGUAUUUUUUUUUUUAAGCAGUACAGAUAGUGCUUUGACAUUCUGGGUUAGUUUGCUAGGGCGGCUGUAACAAAGUGCCACAAGCUGGCUUAAACAAUAGAAAUUCAUUGUCUUUCAGUUCUGGAGGCUGGAAGUCUGAGGUCAAGGUGUUGGCAGGGCUGCUUCCUGCUGAGGCUGCGAGAGAACCUCUGCUCUAGGCCUCUCACCUAGUUGCUGGUGGUUUGCUGGCAAUUUUUUGUGUUCUUUGGGCACCACAUCUCUGCCUUCUUCUACACAUGGCUUUCUCCUGUGUGCAUGUCUAUGUCCAAGUCCCCCCCCUCCCCCCCCCCCCAACACACACCUUUUAAAAAUAUUUUUAUUGAUUUCAGAGAGGAAGGGAAAGGGUGAGAGAGAUAAAAACAUCAAUGAUGAGAGAGAAUCAUCACCCUCCACUUGAAUCUUUAUUCAAUAAUCUUUUCCUGGAGCCCACUAUGAUUUUCAUAUUCUGUUCCCUUUACUGGAAUACUCUUAUCUCCAUUAUCCCUUAAAAUGGCUAACUCCUGCCCUCCUAUUUAUGUAACUUAGCUGUGUUUCAGUUUCCCCAUUUGUAAAACAGGGGUAAUAAUUAUACCUACACCAUGGGUGUCAGAAGAACUAAAUGAAAUAAAGUAAGUUUAGGUGCUUAGGACAUCAACUGAACCAUAGAAGGUAUUCAAUAAAUAUUAGCUAUUACUAGUAUUA